UACGAAGGGGGCUAGCGUUGCUCGGAAUCACUGGGCGUAAAGCGCACGUAGGCGGACUCUUAAGUCGGGGGUGAAAUCCUGGAGCUCAACUCCAGAACUGCCUUCGAUACUGGGAGUCUUGAGUUCGGGAGAGGUGAGUGGAACUGCGAGUGUAGAGGUGAAAUUCGUAGAUAUUCGCAAGAACACCAGUGGCGAAGGCGGAUCUCUGGACAGUUACUGACACUGAGGCACGAAGGCCAGGGGAGCAAACGGG
rnacentral:rRNA from 1 species